AUUGCACCAGUCUCAAGUGGAAUAAACAGAAAAUGAGGAUCGUAUUUUAUUUACUGCUGAUGCUAGCAGUGGGACGAUGCACAAAAAAACCAAACUUUGAGACAAAGACGGUUGGUGUUGGAGUUUCUGUGGAGCUGACAUGUCCCCGCAAGUCUUCGGGAAGCUUGUUUUGGAUCAGGAUUGAUUCUGGAAACUUUCCUGAAGUCUUAGGAAAGACAUUUAGCCUUAAGAGUAAUGAUCGCAUCACAGCUACAGAAGAGCGUGAACUAUUUGUUCUACAUAUUCAAGAAGCAAAGCUAAGUGAUGCUGCGGUCUACUACCGUAUUCAAAUAAGCAAACAGAACAUCAUAUUCUUGACACAAACUGACCUAAGAGUUAAAGAACCUGAAAGCGCUGCAGUUUCUCCAACUGAUCCAGUCCGUCCUGGAGACUCUGUGACUCUGCAGUGUUCAAUACUCUCCAACUCAAAGAACGAAACACGACCAGAAGAACAAAAUAUGUGCUGUUUCAAGGCUUUUAAUCAAAGUUUUAAUAAUACUCAAGGAAACGUUGUUGAAGUACAUGAAAAGGAACCAGGUGGACCCUCAAAAAAGAAAUGUCUCUACAGCUUCUAUAAGAUUUAUUGUCGUUGUACUCUGUGUACAAUGACAAUAAAAAUAAAAGGCUUUGACAUGUGUUGAUAAUUUGUGAUCUUCUCGCUCCCAGG